GGCGGGGUAGCUCAGUCUGGUAGAGCAAGCGGCUCAUAAUCGCUAUGUCGCCGGUUCGAAUCCGGCCCUCGCUA
rnacentral:tRNA from 1 species